rnacentral:rRNA from 1 species
GGUUGGCUCAGAAGCAGCCAUCCUUUAAAGAGUGCGUAACAGCUCACUAGUCGAAUGACUCUGCGCCGAUAAUUUACCGGGGCUAAGCAUACUACCGAAGCUAUGGAUCCCAAGGGAUGGUAGGGGAGCGUUCCAUGAACGGAGAAGUACGACCGAAAGGACGUGUGGAGAUCAUGGAAGAGAGAAUGCCGGUGUGAGUAGCGGAACGUGGGUGAGAAUCCCACGCACCGAAAACCCAAGGUUUCCAGAGGAAGGUUCGUCCGCUCUGGGUAAGUCGGGACCUAAGGCGAGGCCGAAAGGCGUAGUCGAUGGACAACAGGUAGAGAUUCCUGUACCCGUAUAUAUGUGAAGGAAUGACGGAGAGAGGAAGCUGCAGCCAGCGGCUGGAAGAGCUGGUGCAAGCGAGAUAUCGGGAUGGCAGGCAAAUCCACCAUCCGAAACGAGAAGGCGUGAAGCGUACGGAAAGCUACGGCGAGUACGGAAGGCAGUGGAGGAACUUCCAAGAAAAGUUUCUAACGUUAAGUAUAUAUGGCCCGUACCGAAAAUGGACACACAUGGGUGAGGAGAGAAUCCUAAGGUGAGCGAGAGAACUAUAGCUAAGGAACUCUGCAAAAUGACUCCGUAACUUAGGGAGAAGGAGUGCUCAUAGAGAUAUGAGCCGCAGUGAAACGGCCCAAGCGACUGUUUACCAAAAACACAGCUCUCUGCUAAGCCGCAAGGCGAAGUAUAGGGGGUGACGCCUGCCCGGUGCUGGAAGGUUAAGGGGAGGGGUUAACGCAAGUGAAGCCCUGAACUGAAGCCCCAGUAAACGGCGGCCGUAACUAUAACGGUCCUAAGGUAGCGAAAUUCCUUGUCAGGUAAGUUCUGACCCGCACGAAAGGCGUAACGAUUUGGGCGCUGUCUCAGCUGUAGACUCGGUGAAGUCUUAGUACCUGUGAAGAUGCAGGUUACCCGCGACUAGACGGAAAGACCCCAUGGAGCUUCACUGCAGGUUGAUAUUGGGAUUUGAUGCAGCAUGUACAGGAUAGGUAGGAGGCAAAGAGAUGGAUACGCCAGUAUUCAAGGAGCCGCUGUUGGGAUACUACCCCUGUUGUAUUGGAUUUCUAACCGGACGACGUAGAACCGUUGACGGGACAGUGUCAGUCGGGCAGUUUGACUGGGGCGGUCGCCUCCCAAAGAGUAACGGAGGCGCCCAAAGAUACCCUCAGCUUGGAUGGAAACCAAGCGCAGAGUGCAAAGGCAAAAGGGUGUUUGACUGCGAGACCCACAAGUCGAGCAGGGACGAAAGUCGGGCUUAGUGAUCCGGCGGUGCUGAAUGGAAAGGCCGUCGCUCAACGGAUAAAAGCUACCCUGGGGAUAACAGGCUGAUCUCCCCCAAGAGUCCACAUCGACGGGGAGGUUUGGCACCUCGAUGUCGGCUCAUCGCAUCCUGGGGCUGUAUUCGGUCCCAAGGGUUUGGCUGUUCGCCAAUUAAAGCGGUACGCGAGCUGGGUUCAGAACGUCGUGAGACAGUUCGGUCCCUAUCUGUCGUGGGCGCAGGAAAUUUGAGAAGAGCUGUCCUCAGUACGAGAGGACCGGGAUGGACGCAUCAAUGGUGGACCAGUUGUCACGCCAGUGGCAUAGCUGGGUAGCUAAAUGCGGAAGGGAUAAACGCUGAAGGCAUCUAAGUGUGAAACCCACUUCAAGAUGAGAUUUCCCAUUGC